UGCGUAGGCGGUUUGACAAGUCUCAUGUGAAAUCUUCGGGCUCAACCCGAAGUCUGCAUGGGAAACUGUCGGGCUUGAGUAUGGGAGAGGUGAGUGGAAUUUCCGGUGUAGCGGUGAAAUGCGUAGAUAUCGGAAGGAACACCUGUGGCGAAAGCGGCUCACUGGACCAUAACUGACGCUGAUGCACGAAAGCUAGGGAGCAAACA
rnacentral:rRNA from 1 species